CCGCAGAAAGGUUUGUGGGAAGCACCACCCUCUGCUUAAAAUGCUCCGUGCACAGGGAGGGAGGAAGUGCUGCUCUGAGAAGGCUGGAGGACAUCACAAAAGAAAAAGGGGAGAUCCAAUAUUUGCCACAUCACAAAAGAAAAAGGGGAGAUCCAAUAUUUGCCACAGAUCUGCAGGACCUUGUGGAAAAUGGGAUGGGGAAGGAGAUGAUGACAGGUAGGGAAGGUGAGAAGUGGCUGCAGGAUUGCUUCUGUUGAGGCAGAAGGGGAAGAUGGAUGAAGUGCUCUGCAGCUCUGCCAGAGGAUGCAGCAGUGGGUCACUGACACACUCAGCUCACAAAGUAUGGCCCAUAAUGUGCAGCAGCUAGUUUUCUAAAAUUACUUCUGCAGCACCAGGCAGAUUUGCAGUCACUUUUCUGAAGAUUGGAACUUCAUUUAGGUGACCUGUCUUUAGUUCCUUGCUCUGCUCGCUGUAAUUGCUUCUCCAGAGUAAUGUUACACCGGGAGCGUGGCACUGCAGCCGGGGAUGGCUCCCUGGGAGUGAUAAGGACAGCUCGGCUCUGAUAAGGGCAGCAGAACAGCACAGCCCUGCAGGAACAGAUAAAGGACGGAAGGCAGGCAAACAGGAGCCAUGCAAAACGCAAGCAGGAGCGAGCCCAGCUCUGCAAGGCCGCCGAAGCAGGAGCUGUGCACAAUAAUGAGGCCUGAAUUUUUGGCAAGCAAAGCUAAACUCUGCUGCAUCGUGAAAUCGUGUGAAAGCUGCCAGUAAGGAGAUUGAGUAAGAAAUAGUGUUAGAUAAUGGCUGUAAAUGCAUUAUGAUCACUCUUUUCAUUAGAAACUUCUUUGUUUUCUCCCUGGUGUAUACCACAAACAGCUUGCACAUGAUUUAUCUGUGUGUGCUUGGGAAGGAGAGGCAAAGGGAAUAAAGUCUUUGCCAUGAGAUGUUUUAAAAGGCAGUUGGGACACUUAGAGACACGAUACUUAUUAAAAUAAAUGGAAGCUGCAUGUCUAAAUCCCCUGGUCAUCCUUGGAAGCCUUGUCCCUCAUGUUUAUCUUGCAGUGGUUUCCAAAAGGGGAAUUGCACAUCUCAUUUCCAGGGUGUGUCAGUGCAAGUGGACAGCAAAGCCAGGAUCCCACAGGGGCCAGGCCCAGCUCAUGCCAUGCUAUAAAGCUUUGGAAAGGGGCAAAGCACUUUCUGGGAAACUCUGUAAAAAACAAGUCCAGGUUCCACAGAAGUUAAGGGGACGUGGUUUCCCUCUCCCAUUUCCAGAGAUUUCUGCUCUGUGCAGCUCUCAGGGCUGGACAGACUCACUGCUGUGUCCAGCUCUGCUGAGCUUUCAGUACAUCCAUAACUCCCCACCCUGUUGUAAAUCUUCUGACAAAUAUUUCUCAUUUUUUAAAAGAAAGAACUCUUGGCAUUGUCCACUUUGGAAAUGCUGGCCCAUUAAGUCUAAACAGGGCAUGUUAAAUAUCAAUUGAUUAUAAAACCCAUAUUAAUUGAUGUUCAGCAGCCCUGCUAAUGGAGAGGAGCUCAUUACAUAGCAGUUAACCCUCAACGUAUAUAUAUUAAAUAAUCAAUUAGUAUUUAUUUAACAUACAAUAACCUCCCUAUUAGUGCUAAAUUAAAAGCCUCUUUAUAGAGGCCUUGCAGAAAGCCCUGCACUGUGCUAACCUGGAGCCAGGAAUUUGCAUUAAGAGCUUCAAUCUUCGUUACCUCUGGUGCCCCCAGGAUGAUUUUUAGGUGUUAAGUGAAGGAAUAAAGGGGCUGUGUUUGUGACAGUCACUUGGCCCUGCUGGGGAGGGAGUCAGUGCCAAAAAGCUGGUGAGUUGCUGCCCAUGUGGUCACAGGAAGAUGCAGAGACCUGGCAGGUGAUGGGUGAGAGGAAAACAGAGGGAUUUGUACUCCUUGGAAGUAGAAGAAAAGUAUUUUCAAAUGGAAAAAGAAAGGAGAAUGAGCAAAGAGACAGGCAGACAGCAAGACAAGAUAAAAGCAAAGAAGUGGCAUGGCUGGGUAAUAGAAACAGGGCAAACUGGGGAACUCGGAAAAGGAGUAGUUGAACUAAAUUGCCCAAAAUGAGUCUCUCCUGUGCCACGUCCUGAGCUGCCAUUUAUAUCUGUGUGGUGUAUGGAAUAUUAGCAGGGGGAUUCACUCCCAUCUCUGCCUGGCCUGAGUGUGACAAGGAGGGGGAUAGAAGGGAGCUCUGCUGUUUUCCUUGGAGCCUGGGUGAGUUUUAUAUUGGGGUCUAAUAGGCCCAGACCCUAUUUGGAGCUGAAUUACAUCACAUGCCUAUGCAAUAAUCUCUUUUCUGGUGGGGGGAAGCUGGGAAAUCAAGCAGCUUCUCCAAAAGUCAAUUCUGGUACUCAAAAUGGAGCCAGCUCAAGAAAUUGUCAUUGAUCCACUUCUGAACUUGGAGCAAAUUUCCAUAAAAAUAAUCAGAUCCUCUCAGCUGCAGAAGUUUUAAUGCCAUGUGUUUCACUGGGUGGGAUGGGCAGGCUGGGAGAACAGGAGCUGAGCAGUGAUUUGGGUUCAUUUUCCUCCUCUUCCCUGUACCACUUCUGAACAGGGUGAGGGGGAUGGGAGACGAUGCCUUGGCUGCUCUCUUUGCAACUUCUUGGCAAAAGGGAGUGAAAACCAGCAAAUUGUUUGGUCUGAUCCUCAGUGGAUGAAAACUGGAGCAGUCCUUAGUAGGGCUUUAAAAAGCUUGAUUAAUUUAGGCUCCUAGGAAUGUGGCUUGGCUGGAAACCCCUUAGAAAGCUGAAGCUCUGACAGUGGGGCAGCCAGGUCCAGGCUGGAGCAGGUAAUGACAGCUCCAUCUCAGAGGUGUGAGGAAGAGCAGGGACCCUGUGGAGCAGCCCUGAUGGGAUGGGGGGUUUCAGGCAUGUGUGAAGGGUGCCCCCCUUCCCUCCCUGCCCUCCUCCAGAGGGAGAAUCCUGUGGCAAAGGGAGAGAAGGAGAUCUGGAACUGACAGAGAUGGGCCAGAACAGGUAAAUAACCAUGGAUUUGAAACAUCAGCAGGCAGUGUUUAAUGAAGGGAUAAGCAAAAUAAAACUGGAGGUGAGUGCCAAUACUGUCUGAAGGGUAAUAACGAAGCUGAUGGAAAAAUCACUUUAACCAUUUUGGAUCUCAGGGAAGACCCAAAUGUAAUUUUACUGAGGAAAUGUAAUCAUAUUUCAGGCUUUUCAGCCCUGCCAAGGAGCGUGAGGCACGCACACAUCAACGCCUGCUCUCCCUGAAGCUCAGGAGGGCUUUGCUGUUGGCUGCUCGCUGUGGUAGAGAGAGACCUUCGAGGUCUUUCCCACCAAGGACAGCGGCAGCUGCUUGAGCAAGUGAUGGUCACCUGUAUUCACAGGUGUAUGAUGUAUUUGCAGCACUUGCAAUAAAUUACUUCUUUUUCUCCUUACAGCUUCUGGAAACAUUCCCAGUGGCCGGCCUAUUCAUCAGGGCUGUUACAUUUCUGCUGCUGCAAAGAGGGAAGAACCUUUUUCUCUUCCUCUUUAUUAGCAUGUGCUGUGGUGUGAGCCGGGGAGGGAACCCCUCUGUGGCCAGCACUGGGUAAACACAGCCGAGGUGACAGUGACAGUCCUCAUCACCGAGCGUUAGCAAUUCAAACAGCCACGUCAGUCAAGGACUUGGAGAGAAGGGAAGGCAGAAGGGAGGAUGUGACAGUUUGCAAACACUCCGCUGCAUGAUUUUGUCGUAGGUGUGUUCAUCCUGGGAGUGUCUUGGAGGAAAUGCAAAUGAAUUUUGUGCUGGACAAGUCUGUGUGCAAGUGAGGACUGCUGGGGCUUUGUUGGGUGUGGAGAAAUCUCUUCCUCUUGUAGACUGAGAUAAUCAAAGGGCUUUUGGAAAAUUUCAGGAAAUUACUCAAGGCCAGGUUUUGCCUACAGGGCACGGCAGUCUUUACUAAUCUAUUAAAAAUAAGCAGGAGAAGGUAGUAAAACAAAAGCAGUGAAGCAAAAACAAACCCCAAAACUCCAUCAAGCAAAACCUGAUGAUUUUCCACAGUAGAAUUUUGGGGUGUUUGAAAUAUACUGACAUUUCCUAAAACCACCAAUUUAAUCCCUCCACACUGCACUCGAAAUAUCAAACCUAAGAAAUUUAGGAAAUUAGGCUGAAGGUUUUCUAUUACCCUGAAAUUUUGCCUUUGAGAAUUGAUAACACAGAUGGAAUUUCCUUGGGAAAGAAUUGAGUAAAGGAUGCUGAAGAAUUAUUUUAGUUAAACUGACUGCAAUGCUAAAAAUGAAUCCUGGAGUGGGACAGUGAAGAAACUCAUACUAGAAUAUUAAUUCUACUUCCAAUCAUCCAAGGAAUUCAGUCACUGAAGUCAGGAGUGAAUUCAGUCUGUCUGGUUUCCAGAGGCUUUAGGGAGGCCUUGCCAAUACUAUUCUUUCCUGCUGGAUUUGUCUGCAACUCUUCAAAGUUAUUAGUGGAAAUAAUUUCCUCUCUGAAGAAGCAGCCGCCUCUGUCCUGCUGGUCUGUCUCUGCUGUGGAUUACUCCCUCACACAUCACAUCUCUCAGUCCAGGGAGGCAGCUGUGCCUGCAGGGUGUUGUUCAGCCCUUUACCCAAUUAUCCAUGCCCAGAACACCCAUCCCAAGCUAAUCAGGAAGGACAAUCUUCUCUGGGUGAAAACGCUCUCUGAGGACUCACCUCUGCCGCGGCGCCUUCAGGGAAUGAAACCACUAAUUAUAGGAGAGGAGUGUUUGCAUUAUCUGCAUGAUGGCAAGAGCAGAAAGGGAGACCCCAGGGCCGAGAGCCCUCUGCAUCAUGGGUUUGCUGUUCUCUUGCUGUGUGGGACUCCCUUCUCUGAAAAUCCCAAUCUAAACAUGAGUGUGCAGAACUUUAUUGAGUGUAAGAACAAGGAAUUUCUAUCUGUAAGGAAUAAUUUUAUUUGUAAGGAAUAGGUAAUUCCUCUCUGUACCCCAUUAGAAAUCCUCAGCCUGCAGGCACCUGGGCAGAGUAAAAUGGUGAUUUGAGCUGUAUCAUCUCUAUGAUUUCUUGUCCUCCAUCACGGCCCCGCUGAUUUCAGCUCUCCAGAAGCUCCAGAGCUGCCUACAGCACUUGCCCACAGACUGCAGUCUGAGGAAGAUGUCGCCUGUUUCUGAAGGACAGGAUGAAAUCACCCCACAUAUGUCCUCUAUCUAUUGCUUCUCUGAGCAGGGAAAACCGAAAUGCCUUUCCCACCAUUUUAUUUAUUGGCUUUCCUCUGUUUUCUGGGAAAAUCCCUUUUUUUAGUACUUUGUGCGUGCGCGUGAGCCUGUGUGGGGUAGGCGUGCGUGUGUGUGUUUAGGAGGUUAAAAAAAAAUUUCUUGCUGUCAGCAAGUGAUGUUACAAACCUGCUCUGACAAGGCUGGUUGUAUAUUUACAGUUGGUGAGAGCGAAGGCUUCAUCAAUCUUCACGCUUUGAAAGGGACAGGCCCGCUCCCAUGAGCACCUGCUCCGGGAGAACAGCUGAACUGUGACUUUCCAGGGAGCUGGCUGUAAAUUUUAGCCAUUCCCCCCGCAGCCCACGCAUGCUUGAGCUCUUUAACCUUCCCAGGCUGGCAGGAGUCCCAGCAAUCAGUUUAGUGCAAAGACUGGGGUUCUUUUUAAUUAACCUUUUGUUUCCCACUGCAGGUGUUUCAAAGUUUUAAAAGGAAGAGGGGGGGGGAAAUAUUGUUUGCAGAGGUGCAUCCAGUUUUUCCAUGCUUGGUGAUCAAAGGGGAUCAGCCUUUCUCAAGUUUCCCCUCCACGUUCACCUCUUGGAUGUGUGUCUGUGCCAGCAUCCGCUGGGAACUGGCAGCAAGGCUUCCCUUUGGGCACCUGCAGAAAGUGUUCCUGGGAGUGCACUGGGCUGGCAGAAAAGGGAAGUACUGCCCUGUUUGAUCAAUAGAAUUAUUAGUAGGACAAGGACCUGUUGUAUCGCUAAGAAAAUUCAUGUGUGGGGAUUUAUCACAAGGAAAAAAAAUGCAUUCAAGCCCCACUUAAAACAAUAAAACAUAUCUUUGAGGGAAAGUUUCAGACUUUCUUCUAUAAAGGAAUAAUGGUUUCUGUAAUUUAAUAGGUGGUAAAUUUGGUGAGGACUGCCAGCAAAUCCAUUUCACAUAAUGAUAUUUUAUCUCCCUGGGUAUGGUCAUUUUCAUGAAUGUCUUUUUAUUGGUUUCCUUGUCCCACGAAGUGUCCAAGGUGGUGCUGCUCAUCCUCAAACGCUGAGCACAUACAGAGGCAGGGAUGGCUGGAGAAAACUAUUAAUAAUGGUGACACAAAAAAUGGGCAGGAACUGUGUGACAGUUAAAUGUGCUCCCUAUAAAUAAAGAACAUUUCUAUUUGACCCUCAGGGCUGUGGCUUUUCAGCACUUACUUUUGUAGGAGUUAAGGUGGUCACAGCUAUUAAAAACUAGAGAUAAGCUGCAAGGAAAUUCAGCUGAGGAUAACAGGGGGGGAAAAGAAAAGAGGGUUUCCAAAGAAGAUUUCACUGAAAGUUGCAGCUAGGAAAAAAAUCUGAAAUAGCCUUUGGUGAGGGAUUUUGUUUACAUAGGCCAGGGCAAUUUGCUUCUUGGGAAAAGGAGUGAUUUAUUCUCUUGGUAUCUAAUUGCAAAUUCACAGAGGCAAACCUUUUCCUCAUGUAGCUCUGCUGAGAGGGACGGGAGCAUUAGUUACGGAGGGUCACAGAUUUUUAGAACCCUCGCAGUGUACAUUGAAUAUAAACUAAAACUCACAGUUAUGGUUUCAUUCUGGCUGGUUCUUUAUGCUGACUAGAGGUAGCAACCACAGCCUGUGACUGCUAUCACACAAACUGAGUUUCAGGAAAGGGAACUGAGAAAUUUUUCUUGAGGGAAAAAAAAGCAGCAAGUUGGAAGAAAAUCAGAAUAAAAUGGAAGGAAAGGGAAAAUAUAGAAGAGUAGGUUUCCAAAAGGCGAGGUAUGGUAUUAUCUAUGUGAUAUAUGCACUUGGUGUAAAAUGGCCCAGGGCAGCUGUGGCUGCCCCUGGAUCCCUGGAAGUGUCCAAGGCCAGGCUGGACAGGGUUUGGAGCACCCGGGGAUAGUGGAAGGUGUCCUGCCAUGGCAAGGGGUAGGAUGAUGUGGGCUUUAAGAUCCCUUCCAACCCAGACCAUUCUGUGAUUCUGUGUUUCACAGUCAGCACAAGGUCUUUGCUGCCUUCCCUCUCAUGUGCCAUGCAUGUGUGGAGUCAAACCUGUCUGAAUUUUGCCUUUGAAUUCUCCCACCUUGCAUGGCUGGUUGCCUGCCUGGGAGAUCUACAGACCUGCCUGCCAGGAGGAACAAGGAUGUGCCAACAUGUGGUCCUGGAACUGCAAAUUCAGAAUGAAGCAAGGAGCAAAAGAAGUGACAAGAUGAGCCGUCAUGGGAAAUGAAGGGAAAACGGCGAAAAUUGUUAUAAUAAAUAAUAAGAAAUGUAGCAUGGGCCAAAGGAAUAAUAGAUCAGCAGUGGGAAGACUCUAAAAGCUGCUGAGAGUUAUUGAUAGACAUUGUGUAAGGAAAAGAACAUAAAAAAAGAAACCCCUGACAGUUUUGCCUUCAUGUUCACAAAGGCGGGUGGCAGGGCAGAUGCCAAAGUGAAAGAUAAAUAUCCUUUUGCAUAAAGAAGAAAUAUUGAAGGAAACUGGGCAGAGGUGACGGAGAAAUUAAGAGUGUUAAAAGACCCUGAAAGCAUGUGGUCCAUGUCAAACCCCCUUCAGGAUUUUGAGCCAAGUCAGCAAAACAUAUGAAAAAUUUGUUGAGGGAAAUGAGAACCUCUUUGAAGACCAGUAAUGAAGAAAUCCUACAAGUGUUAAGUCCAAGGAAGCUUUCCAGAAAGGAAAGGUGGUGGUUCAGAAGAAGGUGCCUUGCAUGGCCAGGAGGCCAAAGUGUGUUUUAAUCUGGGGUUGCACUGGAGAAAUAGUUAAGAGAAAUUAUGAGCUUAAUUAAGGAAAACCAUCAAGGAUUUUUAAAAAUUGGGAUCCAUGCCAAUAAAGGGAGAAAAAAACUGACAGCAGCUUUCUGAGAAAUUAAUGCAAAUCACAGGCCAGGGAAAAGCCAAAAGAUAUAACUUCUGCUGUGGCAGGAAAGGUUGGAUAUAACACAGUGGGGAAGUGUAAUCCGAAAUAAAAGUGAUGGGUGAGGGACAUGGAAGUGGCUGAUGGGUUCUUGCCAGCGAGUAAGGAUGCACUUGUUUGUACUUGGAGAAAGUGUGAUGCCAGAGAACUUCAGGAUAAAGUGAUUAUUGAGAUGAAUUUAACUGAGGGAAGCACAGAGGAAGGGAACAAACCCAACCAGGGUUUGAGAGCACCUGGCUUGGGUGGGGAAGCAGCAAGGAAGGGUUCAACCCAAACACCACUCAGGCAAGUUUCUGUGUUUCUGCAACAAGUUUCCACGAGAGAUUUCUGACACACACACACACCCUUAAUGAAAUAAAACUCCAAGCAUUGCUGAAGUAGUGCUGUGCCAGACUUCAGACCCUUCCUCCUCUGGUCUUCUCCAUGUUCAUUUCCACCGCGGGCUCCUUCCUCCCCACACAGCUCUGAAGAGGCAAAAGGCAGCUGAAUUCAGAGGACUUCAGGAGCCUGGACUUGAGGAGAGGAUCAGAUCUUGUAAAACUCCUGACUAAACAAGAAAAAGAGGGAAGCAACCUGCAGAGAAGAACUGCACUGCUGUGGAAGGACAUCGGUGAUUUGGAAGGUGAUAAACAGAAUCUGUUCACCACACUGGUCCCAGAUAUGAACAGGACACAACAUCAGGCUACUACAACUUGUUCCUUGGUGCACCAGCCCAAACCCUGGGGAUGGGCCUUUGAGCAGAGGCCAGGCAAACCUGUCCAGACUCACUGCCAUGGGACCCCCAGUUGUGGGUGGCUACCCAGGAAAUAAAAGAGGAGCUGGGGGGGCCCAGCCCUUCCUCUCCAGCAGGGUGAGGGGUGCUUGUGCCAGGCUGCUGCAGUGUGACCUGCUUGGUGUGUGCUUUGGAAAGUUGCUGCCUUGGCUCCCACGUGUGGUUCAUGUCCCAGGAAAGUAAAUUCUCCACGAUGUCACAUCACAUGAUGGCCAGGCAGCUUUGAAGCCCCGGCUCUCCAAGUGACUUCCAGCGGACCAUGACGGGAAUCAAGCACUGCGGUGUGAUUCCCCAUUUCAGCCACGCCAAGGAUGGAACCUUUGGGGCAGCAGAGCCGGAGGGGACCGAGGCAGGGUGAGUCCCCCCUGUCAGCCCGGGGGC